rnacentral:tRNA from 1 species
GCGGGUAGAACAAAUGGUAAGUUACUGGCCCCAUAAGCCAGAAAUAGGGGGUUCGAUUCCCUCACCCGCU